rnacentral:rRNA from 1 species
UUCCUACGGGAGGCAGCAGUAGGGAAUAUUGGUCAAUGGAUGCAUGAUGCCAUGCCGCGUGCAGGAAAGGCCGAACUCUUUUGCCGGGGGAUAAAAAGCCCAUGCGUGGGAAAUUGAAGGUACCUGGUGAAUAAGCCACGGCUAACUACGUGCCAGCAGCCGCGGUAAUACGUAGGUGGCAGCGUUGUCGGAUUUAUUGGGUUUAAAGGGUGCGUAGGCGUCCUGACAAGUUUUAGGUGAAAUGCCCAAGCUCAACUUGGGAGCUGCCUGAAAAACUGUUGGGAUUGAGUACAGAUGAGGUAGGCGGAAUUGACGGUGUAGCGGUGAAAUGCAUAGAUUCGUCAGGAACACCGAUAGCGAAGGCAGCUUACUAAGCUGUAACUGACGCUGAGGCACGAAAGUGUGGGGAUCAAACAGGAUUAGAUACCCUGGUAGUCCACACUGUAAACGUUGAUGACUCGCUGUGUGCGAUAUACGGUCGGAAAAGCGAUAAGUCAUCCACCUGGGGAGUACGCCGGCAACGGUGAAACUCAAAGGAAUUGACGGGGGCCCUCUCAAGCGGUGGAGCAUGUGGUUUAUUCGAUGAUCCAACCUACCUGGGCUAGAAUGCCCUUGCUCAAGAUGUAUCGUUCCGCAAGGACAAGGAGCAAGGUGCUGCAUGGCUGUCGUCAGCUCGUGCCUGAGGUGUUGGGUUAAGUCCCGCAACGAGCGCAACCCUUAUUCUUAGUUGCCAGCAUGUGAUGGUGGGGACUCUAAGAAGACGCCUGCGCAAGCAGAGAGGAAGGAGGGGAUGACGUCAAGCCAUCAUGGCCCUUACGCCCAGGGCUACACACGUGCUACAAUGGCGCUUACAAAGUGUUGCGAGCAGGUGACUGCGAGCCAAUCACAAAAAGAGCGUCUCAGUUU